UGCAAAAACAAAAUCCAGCACAGUCAUUCCAGGGCAGAGCACACUUCGGAAAAAUCAGUGCUCUGGAAUUAAUGGACAACAUACGGGGAGGACCAACCACCGCCACCUAUACUCUGCCCAUCCAAUCCUUCAGAUAGGCAGUAAGAGAAUGGGAUGCGGAGUAAAG